GUUGCGGUUUACACAUGGUGGUUGCAUAAUAAUUGGUAUAAGCCUAUAUGAAGUUGAAUAAUUAUUAACACAAUAAUCGCUGUCCUUCUAUGCUUUUGAGCACCUUGUUUUAUUUAUAUAUACCCUCCUCUUCAACUUUUUCAUCAUCCACUACUUCUCUACCUCUGAGCUUCUCUCUCUAACUUACUCUAACUCAAAUAGUUUCUCAAGUUUCUCUCUCUAAAAGCUAGAAGAUGAGGUCAGCAACAUUUCAAGUGUUUAUGAUCCUGGGGCUCUUAGCCACCUCAUGCAUAGCACAAGGGCCCGGAGCAGCACCAUCCAAGUCACCAACAACAACCCCAUCACCAGUAACUCCACCAACCGCCACCCCUACACCACCACCAAAAUCAAAACCAGCCCCAGCACCAACAAAAGCCGUACCACCACCACCGCAUCAUGCUCCUGCUCAUGCUCCUGCUCAUGCUCCAACCAGUACUUCACCACCAUCAGAGGGACCUACCAAUACCCCACCACCGGCAUCAGGCCCUGGACCAGCUCAUCCACCACCAGCUGACACA
rnacentral:lncRNA from 1 species